AACGAACGCUGGCGGCAUGCCUAACACAUGCAAGUCGAACGAGACCUUCGGGUCUAGUGGCGCACGGGUGCGUAACGCGUGGGAACCUGCCCUUAGGUUCGGAAUAACUCCCCGAAAGGGGUGCUAAUACCGGAUAAUGUCUUCGGACCAAAGAUUUAUCGCCUUUGGAUGGGCCCGCGUUGGAUUAGCUAGUUGGUAGGGUAAAAGCCUACCAAGGCGACGAUCCAUAGCUGGUCUGAGAGGAUGAUCAGCCACACUGGGACUGAGACACGGCCCAGACUCCUACGGGAUGCAGCAGUGGGGAAUAUUGGACAAUGGGCGAAAGCCUGAUCCAGCAAUGCCGCGUGAGUGAUGAAGGCCUUAGGGUUGUAAAGCUCUUUUACCCGAGAUGAUAAUGACAGUACCGGGAGAAUAAGCUCCGGCUAACUCCGUG
rnacentral:rRNA from 1 species